UCUAACGUUGCCGGCAAUUUACUCACGUCAAAUUACAACACGAUGGUAACGUCGACACCAAUCAAACGUUCAGCACAAGGAUCACAAGUACAAUUUAGUACGCGCGGACGCCCCGUAUGGUAUUGGAGUCACGAAUGUCAGCCACGAAGACUGGUGGAUGAAUUAAAGGAACUUAUUGAUGAGCAACAGAAAUUUUUCGAAGAACAGUUAAAUGCGCACGCCCUGGGAAGUCUUAUUAAUGAAAUUUAACAUAUUUAACAAGAUGGUAAUAUUGAUGUUACUUAUCCUUUAUUUAGAUGUGAAAAUCUCUCCUUUUAUGAAGAUUUUU